AUACGGAGGGUGCAAGCGUUGUUCGGAAUCACUGGGCGUAAAGGGCGCGCAGGCGGUUUGGUAAGUCAGAUGUGAAAGCCCAUGGCUCAACCAUGGAAGUGCAUUUGGAACUGUCAGACUUGAGUACUAGAGGGGAAAGUGGAAUUCCCGGUGUAGAGGUGAAAUUCGUAGAUAUCGGGAGGAAUACCGGUGGCGAAGGCGACUUUCUGGCUAGAUACUGACGCUGAGGCGCGAAAGCGUGGGGAGCAAACAGGAUUAGAUACCCUAGUAGUCC
rnacentral:rRNA from 1 species